AAAUUGGAUAUUUUGCAUAUUUUCUAAACUUUCGAUAAAUGCUUCAAUUCUGAUGCAUGGAAUAGUUCUGUCUUGGGCCAGUGCUUAAUUCUUCUUGUGCACUUGAUCCUUGAUUAAUCAUGUUAACCCAUUUUAUAUGGCUGUGACAUGUUUGUCCUAGAUUAAUUGGUGAUUGUGUGCAGUUUCUGAAGUAAAAGACACACAGUUGCUCUUGCUAUCUAUUCUUCUGCUCGCUUGACGAUACCACCGACCAGGAUUUCUUUCGCGCUGACAACCUUUUCGUUGUGACCGGUGGUUCCUUCAUGCCACCGUUUUGCUGCUUUGUUCUUUGUUUUUUCUUCUUGGGAUCACGUAAUUUGGUUGUUAAGUUUCGGUGCACUAAAAAUAGUUGUUUUUUCUUGUGUAGGCUGCAGGGCUCUAUUGUUGUUGGUAGGAGUGGUCAGCAUUCAUGUGGCCAACGACAAGGAAUGUCUCCUUCCGAUGUCGCCUGCUCUGUCUAAGGUGCGGUAGCCCCUCAGACCAUGGGCAAGGAAGGCAUGGUAGGUCUACUGAUCUCCGGCGAACGCUUGACUAAUUCUAGAGCAAGCAAAAGUGGGCUCAUAUCUUUUCCGUUCUGAAAGAUCAAUAUUUUUUCUAUCCAACAAGUGUUCAAUUGUGAUAACCGAGGGGUGAUAGUUUUGGACUAACCCAUUUAGAUGAGGCAUGCAAUGAUACUUGGUGAACUCUAGGUUUUAGCACCUCUAAGGUGAUAUUUUUGGACUUCCUAUUCAGUGAGGCCUGCAAUGCCAAUAUCUUACCGUGCUCCAACAAAUCCUAGCUCUCACUGAUGAGAAUGAUACCUUGUCCAAUAAAUGACGAACUCCAUGUUUUAGCACCUCUAAGGUGAUAUUUUUAGACUUCCUAUUCAGAUGAGGCCUCCAAUGCCAGCAUCUUAUUCUGCUCCGAAAAAAAUCCUAGCUCUCACUGAUGAGAAUGAUAGUUGGUACUGUAAAUGGAGAACUCCAUAUUUUACCACCUCUAAGGUAUAUUGUAUUCUCACUGGACGUUAUAUUUUACCACCUCUAAGGUAUACCUCUAAGGUAGUGUUUCUCUUUUCUUUUCUUGACAGCUUUGAGAGAAGAAUAAGAACGGAAAUUUCACUACUUUCAGAUGUCCAUACUCACCUAUACCUAUGCUUCUGUUAUUAAUUUUUUAUUUUUCAUGGAUAAAUGAGCAAGGGUCCAUUUUGUUUGGCUUCCGAGGGGUUCCAUCGGGGACUGCGUAUUAUUGCAAACUGGUGAUUUCUAUAAGUAAGCAUGCUAUUUGUGGCUCG